rnacentral:misc_RNA from 1 species
UACGGAGGGUGCGAGCGUUGUCCGGAUUCACUGGGCGUAAAGGGCGCGUAGGCGGCCUCGUCAGUCGGGCGUUUAAGUGCGGGGCUCACCCCCGUAGCGCGCCCGGGACGGCGGGGCUGGGGCGCGGCAGAGGGAGACGGAAUGCCGGGUGUAGUGGUGAAAUGCGUAGAUAUCCGGCGGAACACCGGUGGCGAAGGCGGUCUCCUGGGCCGUGGCCGACGCUGAGGCGCGAGAGCGUGGGGAGCGAACCGG